rnacentral:rRNA from 1 species
AUGCAAGUCGAACGGUAGAGGGGGCAACCCCUCGAGAGUGGCGAACGGGUGAGUAAUAUAUCGGAACGUGCCCAGUCGUGGGGGAUAACGUAGCGAAAGUUACGCUAAUACCGCAUACGAUCUACGGAUGAAAGCGGGGGAUCGCAAGACCUCGCGCGAUUGGAGCGGCCGAUAUCAGAUUAGGUAGUUGGUGGGGUAAAGGCUCACCAAGCCAACGAUCUGUAGCUGGUCUGAGAGGACGACCAGCCACACUGGAACUGAGACACGGUCCAGACUCCUACGGGAGGCAGCAGUGGGGAAUUUUGGACAAUGGACGCAAGUCUGAUCCAGCCAUUCCGCGUGCAGGAUGAAGGCCCUCGGGUUGUAAACUGCUUUUGUACGGAACGAAAAGGUUUCCAUUAAUACUGGGAGCUCAUGACGGUACCGUAAGAAUAAGCACCGGCUAACUACGUGCCAGCAGCCGCGGUAAUACGUAGGGUGCAAGCGUUAAUCGGAAUUACUGGGCGUAAAGCGUGCGCAGGCGGUUAUGUAAGACAGAGGUGAAAUCCCCGGGCUCAACCUGGGAACGGCCUUUGUGACUGCAUAGCUAGAGUACGGUAGAGGGGGAUGGAAUUCCGCGUGUAGCAGUGAAAUGCGUAGAUAUGCGGAGGAACACCGAUGGCGAAGGCAAUCCCCUGGACCUGUACUGACGCUCAUGCACGAAAGCGUGGGGAGCAAACAGGAUUAGAUACCCU